GUUUGAGGCUUUAAACUUAAGUAGUGUGGGAGAAUAAAUUGGUAUUGAAUUUGUCAUCAACGAGAUUUGAAUAUAAAACCUCGCAAUUACAAGUGAAAAAAAUAUAUCACUAGAUUAGUACUAAGUGACUUUAAAAUACAUUUUGUUAACCACCAUACCUAUCUUUGGGAGUGUACAAGUUAACGUGUACAACAACAACAACAACAACAACAAAGCCUUUUCCCACUAAGUGGGGUCGGCUAUAUGAAUCCUAGAACGCCAUUGCGCUCGGUUUUGUGUCAUGUCCUCCGUUAGAUCCAAGUACUCUAAGUCUUUUCUUAGAGUCUCUUCCAAAGUUUUCCUAGGUCUUCCUCUACCCCUUCGGCCCUGAACCUCUGUCCCGUAGUCACAUCUUCGAACCGGAGCGUCAUUCGGCCUUCUUUGCACAUGUCCAAAUCACCGGAGCCGAUUUUCUCUCAUCUUUCCUACAAUUUCGGCUACUCCUACUUUACCUCGGAUAUCCUCAUUCCCAAUCUUAUCCUUUCUCGUGUGCCCACACAUCCCACGAAGCAUCCUCAUCUCCGCUACACCCAUUUUGUGUACGUGUUGAUGUUUCACCGCCCAACAUUCUGUGCCAUACAACAUCGCUGGCCUUAUUGCCGUCCUAUAAAAUUUUCCCUUGCGCUUCAGUGCCCUACGACGGUCACACAACACGCCGGAUGCAUUCUUACACUUCAUCCAUCCAGCUCGUAUUCUAUGGUUGAGAUCUCCAUCUAAUUCUCCGUUCUCUUGCAAGAUAGAUCCUAGGUAGCGAAAACGAUCGCUUUUUGUGAUCUUCGCUAGAUUGCUCCGGUCAUUAGUGUGGAUAAAUAUAUAAAUGGAUAGAGAUAGGAAAGCAAACACAAGAUGUACGUGGUUCACCCAGAUUGGCUACGUCCACGGAAUAGAAGAGUUCUCAUUAAUUGUGAAGGGUUUACACAAGUACAUAGGUUCAAGCUCUCCUUUAGUGAGUACAAGUGAAUGAUUUAGUACAAAUGACAUUAGGAAAUAUUGUGGGAGAAUGAUCUCGUAAUCACGAAACUUCUAAGUAUCGGAGUGUGGUGUCGUCUUGACUUGUCUUAUCUGUCUCAUAGGUAGAUGUGGCAUCUUCUCUGGAAGUACUCUUCCUCCAUCCAGGGGUGGUAUCUUUAACUGGUGGAGAUGCACAAGGUAAUGUAUCAAUUUCACUUGAAGCUUACUUGUAGUUUCAUGCUUGGUCAAGCGCGAUACAAACCAUGUAGUAGGAGUCCCCCAAGUCGCCGAGCUAGGGGGUCUGCUGAAAGAGGUGACAGACAAGGUAAGCAAUCAGAGCUCCGACUGAUUGUUCACCUUCUCCCCAUCUUGCAGCAGCAUGAAGGAUAAAGAGAAGAAAAAUGAGAAGAGAUGAUAUGAGAUACUUUUGCUUUUGAAGAAGUAACUUUCCACAGGCUUAUUCUUGAACUGAGCUGGAGGGUUUUCUGGUUUCCUCCAGAGUAUAAGGCCGACUGAAGAAUUUGAGGGUCAAAACAAGUCCAUCAAAUCUAGAGUACGUUCCACCCUGCUGAUAUGGGAUACUUUUGCUUUUGACAGAGUAAUGGAUGUAUCGGCACGUGUGCUGUUACGCUUGUCUCCACAUGCUUCCUUGUAUCCUUCGCACUUGCCCUAUCUGUUCCUCAAGCAGAUGCGGAAUCUUCCCUGGAAACAUAAGAUGUUGAAGAUGAGUACUCGAGAGCAAUGCCAGGUAAGUAAUCAGGUAAGGGGUUCCAGGAAGUCAGUUCCUGGCUGGAAGCUUGAUUCCAAGUGCUGACUGAUUGCUCUCUUUCUCCUUGUCUUGCAGGUAAAAACAAGGCCAAAGGAAAAGACAGGGAAAAAGCAUGAUAUGGGAUACUCUUGCUUUUAACCCUGAUGAUAUGAGAUAUUCUUGCUCUAGUAUAGCUUGUUUGCAGAGGUAUUAUCGGGGGGAAAGAAAGCUAAAUAUUUCGAAAUGCUUCGUUGGGAGUGCCCUCUCAGAUAUGAUGAAGGGUUGAGCAUUUUUGCAGGUCUGCCUGUCUGUUGGGGAUGGAGGUCGACAUAUAUAGGAGUCUCCCUAACAAGUAGUAAUGCUAUUCCUUUACCCUGCUUGGUCAUAGCACGGUAGUGGGAGCUGCCAGUUUCACAUGUUUUAACUAUGUCAGAGAACUUUGAAAAAGUGGUCUGUGGUAUCUGGCUCUCGAGAUUCGGAGAACGAUGCCUCUUCGAUUUUUGAGAAAGCAAUCAUGCUGCUCUCGAGAUUCGGAGAGCAGUGUCUCUUCGAUUUUUGAGAAAGUAAUCAUGUUGGGAGUCUGGCUCUCGAGAUUCGGAGGCGGUGCUUCUUCGAUUUUGGAGCAAGCAAUCUUGUUGGGAGUGUUGUCUCGAAUGUGAGUAAAGGUUGGGCAUGUUUGCUAGUCUACCUUGCCACGAAGCACAAAGGUUGACACACAGGGACUUUCCAAUUAUCCAGCAAUGGUACUGUUCCUUUACCCUCUCUUCGAUUUUGAGAAAGUAGUCAUGUUGGGAGUCUGGCUCUCGAGAUUCGGAAGACGGUGUCUCUUCGAUUUUGGAGCAAGCAAUCUUGUUGGGAGUGUUUUCUCGAAUGUGAGUAAAGGUUGGGCAUGUUUGCUAGUCUACCUUGCCACGAAGCACAGAGGUUGACAAACAGGGACUUUCCAAUUAUCCAGCAGUGGUACUGUUCCUUUACCCUUGUGGGUAAUAAUAUGGUAGCUAGACCUUCAAAAUUUAUGGGUCUAAACUUUGUUAGUGCUGUUUCUUUGCUAUUCUUUUACCCUUCUUGGUCAGAGCGAUGUAGUGGGAGCUGCAAGCUUCACGUGCUCAACUUUGGCAGAGAACUUUGGCAAAGUUAUCUGUGGUACCCAUGAGCUAUUGUUGCGUGUGGGAAGUGGGUGAUUGAACAGUAAGAUUCAUGUGCUUUCUACUUCACCAGAAGUCUUCGACAGAAUGCCCAUAAUUUCUGCAAAGCUGAGUGUGCGUGUGACAGGUGCUGACAAGGCUAGAAAAGUAGGUGCCUCUUCGAUUUCUGAGAUCGGCCCUCGUGGUCUAUGGGGAGCCCAGCUUUUGAGAAAGCGAGCGCCUCUUCGAUUGAUUCGGAGAACGAUGCCUCAUCGAUUUUUGAGAAAGCAAUCAUGCUGGGGGUCUGGCUCUCGAAGAUUCGGGGAGCAGUGUCUCUUCGAUUUUUGAGAAAGUUUGGGAGUUUGGCUCUCGAGAUUCGGAGGGCGGUGCCUCUUCGAUUUUGGAGCAAGCAAUCUUGUUGGGAGUGUUUUCUCGAAUGUGAGUAAAGGUUGGGCAUGUUUGCUAGUCCACCUUGCCACGAAGCACAGAGGUUGACACACAGGGACUUUCCAAUUAUCCAGCAAUGGUACUGUUCCUUUACCCUCUCUUCGAUUUUUAAGAAAGUAGUCAUGUUGGGAGUCUGGCUCUCGAGAUUCGGAGGACAGUGCCUCUUCGAUUUUGGAGCAAGCAAUCUUAUUGGGAGUGUUUUCUCGAAUGUGAGUAAAGGUUGGGCAUGUUUGCUAGUCUACCUUGCCACGAAGCACAGAGGUUGACACACAGGGACUUUCCAAUUAUCCAGCAGUGGUACUGUUCCUUUACCCUUGUGGGUAAUAAUAUGGUAGCUAGACCUUCAAAAUUUAUGGGUCUAAACUUUGUUAGUGCUGUUUCUUUGCUAUUCUUUUACCCUUCUUGGUCAGAGCGAUGUAGUGGGAGCUGCAAGCUUCACGUGCUCAACUUUGGCAGAGAACUUUAGCAAAGUUAUUUGUGGUACCCAUGAGCUAUUGUUGCGUGUGGGAAUUGGGUGAUUGAACAGUAAGAUUCAUGUGUUUUCUACUUCCCCAGAAGUCUUCGACAGAAUGCCCAUAAUUUCCGCAAAGCUGAGUGUGCGUGUGACAGGUGCUGACAAGGCUGGAAAAGUAGGUGCCUCUUCGAUUUCUGAGAUCGGCCCUCGUGGUCUCUGGGGAGCCCAGCUUUUGAGAAAGCGAGCGCCUCUUCGAUUUCUGAGAUCAGCCUUCGAGGUCUUUGAGCAACCCAACUUUUGAGAAAGCAAACGCCUCUUCGAUUUCUGAGAUCAACCCUCGUGAUCUCUAAGCAGCCCAGCUUUUGAGAAAGCAAACGCCUCUUCGAUUUCUGAGCAGGCGCCUCUUCGAUUUCUGAAGCUCCGUCGAGUGCAGAUUUUUAUAGGGGCUGGCAUUAAGUUCCAAAGCACACUUGAAUCUCCACCAGUAGAAGCUUCAUUCUUGCACUUCUAAGAUCUUGAUUUGUCCGACCUCUUCUCUCUUCAACACCUUUGAAAAUGUCUGGCCCCUCCGACUGUCGUUUUGACUUGAACCUUGUUGAAGAGGCAGCCCCGCAUUCUCCAGACAACAUAUGGCGCCCAUCCUUCGUCUCCCCUACUGGUCCUCUUACCGUUGGGGAUUCCGUGAUGAAGAAUGAUAUGACCGCUGCGGUGGCGGCCAGGAACCUUCUCACUCCCAAAGAUAACAUACUACUUUCCAAACGGUCUGAUGAGUUAGCUGUUAAGGAUUCGCUGGCUCUCAGUGUUCAGUGUGCAGGUUCUGUGUCUAAUAUGGCCCAACGCCUAUUUGCUCGAACCCGCCAAGUUGAAUCAUUGGCGGCUGAAGUGAUGAGUCUCAAACAGGAGAUUAGAGGGCUCAAGCAUGAGAAUAAACAGUUGCACCGGCUCGCACAUGACUAUGCUACAAACAUGAAGAGGAAGCUUGACCAGAUGAAGGAAACUGAUGGUCAGGUUUUACUUGAUCAUCAGAGAUUUGUGGGUUUGUUCCAAAGGCAUUUAUUGCCUUCGUCUUCUGAGGCUGUACCGCGUAAUGAAGCUCCAAAUGAUCAACCUCUGAUGCCUCCUCCUUCAAGGGUUCUGUCCAGUACUGAGGCUCCAAAUGAUCCCCCUCCGGUGCCUUCUCUUUCUGGGGCUCUACCGACUGCUGAGACUUCUCCUAAGCAACAUUUGUGAAGGCUCCCUCUUGUGUGUUUAUUUUGACUCAUGUAUAUGUACAUAUUUAACUCCGCCUAUGUCUUACAUGGCCGGUCCCAAGCCCGGGUAAAGGAGGAGGGGGAGGGCGUCAGGUAGUCGACAGCCGGCACUCCAUGAUCACGUCGAAUCCUUAUGAAAAUGUAUAUGUACAUAUUUGUAGCUUAUUGGGGAUAUCAAUAAAUAAGCUUUCCUUCAUUUCAACGUAUUGUGUUAGAUACACCAAAGCCUUCUUCGCUAAGUUCUUUGAAUUUUCUUUUGUUGAAGCUUGUAUGUUGAAGCUUUCUGAGUGGAGCAUGUAGGUUGGGGUAGUGUUCCCUUAAUUUUCCGAGUGAGGAAAACUUCUCGGUUGAAGACUUGGAAAAUCCAAGUCACUGAGUGGGAUCGGCUAUAUGAAUCUUAGAACGCCAUUGUGCUCGAUCCUGUGUCAUGUCCUUCGUUAGAUCCAAAUACUCUAAGUCUUUUCUUAGAGUCUCUUCCAAAGUUUUCCUAGGUCUUCCUCUACCCCUUCGGCCCCGAACCUCUGUCCCAUAGUCGCAUCUUGUAAUCGGAGCGUCAGUAGGCCUUCUUUGCACAUGUCCAAACCACCGUAACC
rnacentral:lncRNA from 1 species